AUCUCCUCCCUCCCCCCCGCCGCGGAGGGCGCGCUUGGAACUGCCUCUGUGUGUCCGGGCGCCUGGGGCGUCUCCGCGCCCUUCCGCGGUGCGGUGCGGUGCUCGCAGGCUGGGCGCGGGGGGCUGCUGCUGCUGAAGGGAAGCUUUCGCUCUCCAAUUACUUUUCCCAAGAGGGAGAAGGAGGCAGCAGGAGGGGGAAGUCGUGCUGUGUGUGGAAGGCACACCAAUCAGAGAUGCUCUAACGGAGGGUCUGCUGCAGGACGCGCCGGCUUCUUCUCCUCCUUCCUCUGCCGGCGGGGCUGAAUCGGGACCACGCGCAGCUGGUAUAGGGGCCGGAGCCGCACCGGGCUGCAGGACUUCCCCAUCUCCGCUUUUCCAGUAGCUCAACCAUACUUGGUCUUAUUUUAAUUUUUUUUAAAUACUCUGAAAUCGCGCACGAGAAACACUUCAAGUCUUCCCUCCAUUCCCAGUUCCUUCAUCCUUCCUCUAGCAUCUCUUAGCCGGAUUCCUGGUAUAUUCCCAGAGAGGCGGUGGAACAGCGCCGGGCAGCGCGGACGGCUGCUGCCCCAGACCGGCCGAGCCGAGGGGAGCCGAGCAGAGCGCGGCACGACGCCGCUCCAUGCCCCCGAGCGCUGGCGGGGCGCGGGGCGUGUGCCGGCGAUGCCCGGGCGGUAAGGCUGGAACUCCCCCCGGACGGGAGGCGGCCGAUCGCUAGGCAUUUCUAGCAAGAAUCGGGACUGCAGGAUGAAUAAGAAAUACUUACAGAAAGCAACUAAAGGAAAACUGCUAAUAAUAAUAUUUGUUGUAACGCUGUGGGGAAAAUUAGCAUCUGGGGCAAAUCAUCAUAAAGCUCACCAUGUUAAAACUGGGACCUGUGAAGUGGUGGCGCUUCACAGAUGUUGCAACAAGAACAAGAUAGAAGAGCGAUCACAGACGGUGAAGUGUUCCUGCUUCCCUGGGCAGGUAGCAGGUACCACCCGGGCAGCUCCUUCUUGCGUUGAYGCUUCAAUAGUGGAGCAGAAAUGGUGGUGCCACAUGCAGCCAUGUCUUGAAGGGGAGGAAUGUAAAGUUCUUCCAGAUCGUAAAGGAUGGAGCUGUUCCUCUGGGAAUAAAGUGAAAACAACUAGGGCAAACGUGUAAAACUCCUCAAGUCCGAAUGGAGAAGUAGAGAAAGGAGGUUUCUGCUGUGCCUGAUGACAAUUUUUGUUUUUUCCACACAAAAAAAUAUUCUGGCUCCACGUUGGAGCACUAGUUGUGAUGAAUCCUAGUCUUGGUUGGAUUCUAAGGAAGGGCCGGAACGUUCGUUGAGGAAUAAAGAGUCAAACCACUCCAGAAAAUGUGUUCCAGCCCUGGUUUAUUACUCACAGAGCAGCAGGUAACCCGAUAGCUGAAGACAAAUCAAGCCAGUCUCAAGGCUGAUAAUAAAUACAACACAUAAGAAUUUCAUCCCUCCAGGCAAUCCUUGAAGUGAAAUUUUGUACUGCUGGGGUGUAUCCUUCAGCAGAAUCAAUUGUUUCAAUGAGAACCUGGCUUGUAAUCAGCAACAGACUUGAAAUCAAAACUACUGGAAAGUUAUUUUGAACUUCUGUGUCACAAAUAUUUCAACUGAUUGAACUGUGUACACUUGUAAAAUUGCACUUGUUGAGGAAUUUGCAGCUGUAAUCAAGAGCUGAUAUUCUAAAGGUGCAGAAGAGCAGCAAACUUUUGGGUUCUCCGUUGCAGAUCAGAGGCUUUUCUUCUUGAUGAAGUCAACUUCUGAAAUGUAUUGGAUCCUUCACUCAAAAAYGAUCCCUGGUCCACAGUUCAGAUUGCUGGUGGAACUGCACAAUGCUUUAAUUAAAUUUCUGUUGCAGAAAUUGUCCUUUGGCAUGGCGCAGUUUUAGACAUUUUUAUUUGUGUUCUAAUCUUGCAGCUCUCAAAGGUACAUAUUUCAACAUCUUGAAGUUGCUUUGUUAUAGGAAUGGAAUUAUAUAUCCAUUGUUAAUAAUUAUUGUUGACAAGUAAUAGUUAUCUGAAUACAUCAGUCAUAUUAGAAUGUAUAGUCAGGUUGACAUGUUUCCCUAAGGCUAACCAACUACUGCGGCUUAACAGUUAAAGAAAGUAGUGGUCAAAACUCAAUUACCACUUCCAUUAUAAGGCAUUUUAUAUCUUUAAGAUACACAUUUCCAUUUAGUUUGAAGGAAAUGGGUGUUCCCAGUAUGUACUUUACUUUCCUAACCUUUAAUUCGUUUAAAUUCAUGGUAAGCAGUCAAUUACAGUAUUUCAUCCCUUUUUUAUAAACAUAGGCAGGGAUGUAAAUGAGAUUUGCAAUUAUGUUAUUGGAUGGUAAUCAUUCAGAUUUUUUGUCUUUUUAUUGAAAAAUAAAAUCUCUUGCCUGUACCUAAGUACUGAUGGAUGCUUAUGUAGAUGUCUGCUCAGUUUGUUUGCUAUAAAGGAAAAAAGUCCUAGUGCUCUCCCAGAUUUACACUUCAUGGGUAUUUUGCUUGCUUACAGUCAUCCAGUUCAGAUCUGACCCUCGCAAAAGUGUAAUUUUUUUUGGUUUUGUUUUGUUAGAAAUUCUUGAACUUUGCGAUGUGCUGUUACAUGAAAAAAAUCCUCAAUAUUUAAAGGCCUUAAGCAUCUCUGAAAUUUUUUCUAAGUUAUUACAGAAUGUAUAAUUUUAUACUSCAUUUAAUGUAUAUUGUACCAUCUGUAAUGUUGAUACAGAAGAAAUUUGGUAAUUCCUUUUACUGACACUGCAUAAACAUACUGACUAGAGGGAGUUCUGACUGUAUGCUUUGGUGAAUUGAAAUGAAAUCCACACACACUUAAUGGUAGUCAAAAAUACAUAGAGGUAAGCUUAUUUAAGUCCUGUGCAGUUACCAGACACAGCAAAUAAAAAGAAAAAAAAAAGAAAAAGAAAAAAGGAAAUAGAGGGAAAUUAUUUUAUCAUUACAAGACACUGACAUGGCUAGUUUAGUUAUAUAUUAAGUUCCAUGAUGGAUGAACACCCUGGAGUGCUCUGCCUGUCACUGUAGCCCCUGCUGUUCAAAAACCAUUUCAUUACCUCUGCUGUAUUAUUGCAAAGGAGAGCUUAAAUAAAAUAAAUGACUGCUGGGAAUAAAACUGAAAAGUAUAUUCUAUCAUUCUGCUGGAAAAUAAAAAAAAAUAUAUAUUGGCAGAAAAAGAUCUUAUUUUCUGAUUAAAAUUUAAUUAGAAUAAACCAUUUGUAGCAGAAACUAGGUAUCUUGGUAUUUUAGGAUGGAUUAGUAUUAUAUGGGUUUGUGCUAACACAUUCAGGACAGAAGGUAGUAUCUUAAAGAGGUUGUCUGGGACAGUGCAAAGUGUAAACGUGCUGUUUUGUAAAAUCUGAAUAUGGCCUCUCUUUGGUCGAAAAUCUAUCAUGCUUCUCAAGACUUGUUUCCUUUGUUUCCUUGUUCUUAAAAAGCGCUGAAAAUACUGUAUUAUAAACAAGUGUAACACAUGCAUACCAAUAAAUGAAAAUAAGUGGAUUUUCAAAUAUACUGAGUAGAUUAUCUGCAGUAGAUUAAUGUUGUGACUAUUCAUAGCAAGUGAAUAAAAUUGUAAUAUAAAAUAGAGUUCCCUGUAUGGAUGUGCACUUUGGAGAUCUAUUCUGUUUAUAUAUGGAACAAAAUAAUYUUUUAGUGAAUAAGAAUCUCAAAGGUUAUGUUAACUAUAUAUUUCUUCAAUAGACCCAAGAAUAUCUCCUACCACUUUGAAAGGUUCUUUUUGAAAAGAACUGAUACCUAUGGCAAAUUCUAUUGGGUGUACUGAUGUUUUCAGGUCAGACUUAAUAAAUUUUCUUUUUCUUCACAAAAUAUGAAUCCUGAAAAAUUAUCGCUUAGAUAUUUUAAGUAGCAGCAAGACAUGGUAGACAAUCCUGGUAAAGUAAUGUUUCAGGUUAAUUUGUGGAACUGUUUAAAAGAAAAAGGGAAUAAAGCAAGUUUACCAGAUCUGGCUGUGCACUCUGAAGCAAGCUGGGAACCACAGUUCAGGUUUCCACUGUGCCAGUUUAGUGCUCCUUUGARAAUGGAAUACAGCUGACUGGAUCAGCUAUGUGCAUUCAUCUUGUAGGCUUGUGAAUUGCUUAAUAACUGAUUCCUUAUACACUACUUCCUGGAUUAUUUAAUCUAAUUACAAAAAUAUUCAGGCAUGAUCAGAGGGAAAUCCAUGUUGCCCUUUGGAUUCAGUAAUCAUCAAGAACUCUGAACUGCAGAAUAUGCAUUCCAAUUCUGCAGUUCCAAAUGAUAGUGCAUUGAUAAGGAAAGAAAAAUCACUGCUUUGUUCAURCCUUUCACAAUUAAAUGGAUUGGAUCAAUUCAAAAAAGCACAAAAGAAAAUCCUUAUGUGAAUUUAAUGAAAAAAAUAUCCAUAUCAGAACAAAUAAAUCURAAAUACAGCUUAUAAAACAAGUCUAGAUCUUGGUUGUAUCUGGUAUAUUGGUCAUAAUGAAUGUUAACUUUUAAAACAGCACUGUUGCAGAUACCACUGUUACUACCUAUAAAUUCACCUACCGUGCUAUACAUUUUCAGUUUUUUUACUUAUCCUGUAUCUUUUAAAUCUUGGCUCCUCUGCUCUCCUAACAGCUUAAAAACAUUACUGGUGUAGCAUUAGAUUACUUCACCAAACCAGUGCAGCUCUGUUUAGGAUCUAUAUGUUUUCACAGCACAUCAGAUACAUUUAUUUUGAAAGUAAAAAAUCUGAUAUAUAUCUCUUUACUUUGUUAGGUUUCAUAAAAAUAUAUUCGGGGAAUUUUUUUGCUUGUUAUAAUUGUACAGCUGGCUCUUAUAAUUUCCAGGUAAUGCAUGAAAGUCUGUAACAACGUAACAGAAAUAUGCAAUUGGCAUCCUUUUCUGUUGAUUUACUGCCUCCUCCUUCAUGCCUCAAAUUUUACACAUCUGUUGUUAACCAAGAUAUUGGCAAGGAAAAUGAGCACAGUUUUGAUUUGCAACAAACGUUUUGAUAGGGCAACAGAGAAGUGUUGCCCUAAUCUCCAGUUUCUUUUUGCCAAAAGUUAGAUAGCUCUGCAUCAGACCUAUUGCACCUGAACAAUCUGAUGCCAUUAAACAAUUUCCCAUGGAUUCAGUGGUAUUAAAUUGAAUAAUAAGAACUACUCAAUCACUUUGUUUGUCUUUAUAACACAGUUUGUACCCUGAUAAACUUUUCCAUUUGUUCUUUCAUACAAUGAGCAAAUAUUUCCAGAUUAAAUCUUUGAUCUUGUUUCUGUUAGAGGUUAUGUAACUUUGGACACUACUUUGCAGACGGUCAUUACAAAUAUUUUAGCAAAACUAUGGGUAUUGUAUUUGUAUCUGCUGUAUUCAUCUGUACUGCUUAUGUGGUAAUUAGGAGAAAUAGUGUAUGAAAAGGUUGAAUUUCCCAAAACUUAAUUUUGACAGGUGAGAUAACAAGUGUUGCCAAUGUCUCUUUAUUUGAAACUAACUUAAUACCAUCUGGCAGGAGGGCCAUUGAUGGUGACAUUGGAGACUCUUGUGUGAGGGAGUGGCAGUUCUUUAUCAGACUGCGGUGAAGAGAAUACCAGGAGAGUCAAACCACUGUAGUGUGGUUUCAUCACCGUGUCAGUUUUGGGGAAGAGGAUCCAKCUUGUGAGCACUGGGGUGCAGUCAUCGAUGAUCCUGAGCCUGAGGCUCUGGGGGUGACAGCAGUACCCCCCUGUUCUUGGGGUGGUGGAAAGGUCUGUCUUGUGUCUCUGGGAUUUGCUCCAAAGCCAGAUGACAAAAAUGGCAAGGCACAGUGGUGCUUUCAGUGUAGUUUGGAUAAGGCCUUCAAAUGCAGAAUUUUCAGCAUUUUGUUUAGAAAUUCUGAUUGAGUAAAUUCAUUAAAAUUCAUUAAAGUUCACUUGUCCCUUUGCAGGUUAAUGGUUAAACAAAUUUCUCUCUAUUUUCACUGUCUCCUUGCAAGUAGGCAGGUCAAUCUGUAUAGCAAUGGGAAGUGAAAUCCAGUUAUUCCUUGAUAAUAGAUUCUCUUGAUUAAAUAUCACUAAUUCCAUCAAUAUGGGAUUCAAAGACUUGAAAUAAAUCUGGCUUUCAGUUCUGAAAACUAUUUUAUUUCCCAAAUAAAUUAAAUAAAUAUUUUGUAUUGUAGGAAUAUUAUUGCUUAUGUGUAACCCUAACUGUAAAAGUUCUAUGUUAGCUCUUUAAAUUAUGUUUAUAUUCAUAACAGUAAUAUGUAAAAUUUGGUUUAGAUCCACUAUAACAGCAGGGACAUUCWUUUUUCUGCUAAAACAUUGAGUUAACUUAAGGACACUGUAGCUUGGGAUUUAUGGCUUUCAGUGCUUCAACUGCACAGCUGGGAAAACAAUAUGUAAAAAUACUUAUGUUAUGCACAUUGGUGAGACAUUUUUCUUGAGUAUGAGGCAUAUGUGGAGUUGCCAGUUUACUCCAUAUGAGCAUAUUGGUUGAAUCUCUUGAUCUCUUUUCUCCUUACUGUCAUAACAAACGUGACAAAAACUGUACUUGAAUUUUCCAGCCUUAUGUCUUAGUAUUUAAACCAGAACUUAAAAAUGUGCACUACUUUAGUUACUGUAUCUCCAUGCAAAGUAGGUUUUUUCAGUGAUUCCUCCUUAUGAUUAAUUACCAAUGCCUUGUCAUAUUUGAGUAAAGAGAAUAUAAUCCUUACCAUUACUGAUUCAGAGUUUGUGCAUCUUUUUGUUCU